rnacentral:lncRNA from 1 species
GACGUCGACGCUACCCAGACGCACUCGAUCUGCUAACAACAAACAGGGAUGCUUCGACUCGUGAUCCUGUUGACCGCCGUCUGCUCCGUCCUUGGGGACAGCUUCGCCAAGAAGUAUGCAUUCACUAAGGUGAUGACAAAUUGCUUAGGCGAAGAUAUUUACUUCAGGAAUGGUCGAAGCAGGUCUUCCACGCG